AGCAGUCGCCGCGGUAAUACGUAGGGUGCGAGCGUUAAUCGGAAUUACUGGGCGUAAAGCGUGCGCAGGCGGUUCGUUAAGACAGAUGUGAAAUCCCCGGGCUUAACCUGGGAACUGCAUUUGUGACUGGCGAGCUAGAGUAUGGCAGAGGGGGGUAGAAUUCCACGUGUAGCAGUGAAAUGCGUAGAGAUGUGGAGGAAUACCGAUGGCGAAGGCAGCCCCCUGGGCCAAUACUGACGCUCAUGCACGAAAGCGUGGGGAGCAAACAGGAUUAGAUACCCCCGUAGUCCCUGUCUCUUAUAU
rnacentral:rRNA from 1 species